rnacentral:rRNA from 1 species
UACAGAGGGGGCAAGCGUUAUUCGGAAUUACUGGGCGUAAAGGGCUCGUAGGCGGCCAACUAAGUCGGAUGUGAAAUCCCCAGGCUUAACCUGGGAACUGCAUCCGAUACUGGAUGGCUUGAAUCCGGGAGAGGGAUGCAGAAUUCCAGGUGUAGCGGUGAAAUGCGUAGAUAUCUGGAGGAAUACCGGUGGCGAAGGCGGCAUCCUGGACCGGCAUUGACGCUGAGGAGCGAAAGCUAGGGGAGCAAACAGG